UUUUUAUUUAUAUAUCUUUGAAACUUGGUUCAAAUAAUUUUCAGCACAUUCUAUAUACAACGCCAAAAUUUUCAUAAUGGGUAUACAGAAAAUAAAUAGAUAUAUCUUUCCGAAAAAAAUCGGAAAUAUUGACUCAACAAUCAUAUUCCAUUUAAUAGAAUCUAUAGAGUUCUUGGUAUUCACACGCUCGAGACACUUGCUUUCGGCGAAGGCGGCGUUUUUAAUUAUAUUUUGGCAGCAAAAGCAAUUGAAACUUGGCUUUUAACUUGGCUUGUUUAGGCUCCUCGACGCUACUCGACGAACAUGUGCGAAACUUAAUUGAAACAUGUUACACUAAAAGGUAAUGCGGUUAGACGAGCUACAGACGAGCCUAUUGACGGAUUCAGGCGCUUGGAAAUAUUGGAUAAAAGCCAACCGUUGACAGCAUUCGACAAUACUGAAAUCAGUCAUAAUCUAUUCCAUCCAAUUGAAUAUGCAAUUUCUAUGAAAGUCCCACAAUAAAUCUCGCUUUAAGCUCAACAAAUAUUUUGUCAAAUAAA